ACCGUGAGGGAAAGGUGAAAAGAACCCCGGGAGGGGAGUGAAAUAGAACCUGAAAUCGUGUGCUUACAAGCGGUCAGAGCCCUUUGGGGUGAUGGCGUGCCUUUUGGAGAAUGAUCCUGCGAGUUACGUUCAGUGGCAAGGUUAAGUUUAACGGAGCCGAAGGGAAACCGAGUCUGAAUAGGGCGACAUAGUCGCUGGGCGUAGACGCGAAACCUGGUGAUCUAAGCCUGUCCAGGGUGAAGCUGUGGUAAGACACAGUGGAGGCCCGAACUCACCGCCGUUGAAAAGUUGGGAGAUGAGGUAGGUUUAGGGGUGAAAAGCCAAUCGAACCAGGAGAUAGCUCGUUCUCUCCGAAAUGCAUUUAGGUGCAGCCUUGAGUGUUCAAUUAUGGGGGUAGAGCACUGAAUGACCUAGGGGGCAUACUGCUUACCGAAGUCAAUCAAACUCCGAAUACCAUAAUUCUAGAGCUCAGGAGUGAGACUAUGGGAAUUAACUUCCAUGGUCAAAAGGGAAACAACCCAGACCACCAGCUAAGGUCCCUAAUUAUAACUAAGUGGGAAAGGAGGUGGAGAUUCACAAACAACCAGGAGGUUGGCUUAGAAGCAGCCAUACCUUUAAAGAGUGCGUAAUAGCUCACUGGUCGAGAGUCUCUGCGCCGACAAUGUAACGGGGCUAAGUUAUAAACCGAAGCUGUGGAGUUGCGUAAGCGACUGGUAGGAGAGCGUUCUGUAGGCCGUUGAAGGAGAAUCGAUAAGAGACUCUGGAGGUAUCAGAAGUGAGAAUGCAGGAAUAAGUAGCGAGAAUGGGGGCGAGAAUCCCCCACGCCGGAAGACCAAGGGUUCCAGGGUAAAGUUUGUCUCCCCUGGGUAAGCCGGGUCCUAAGCCGAGGCUAGAUUGCGUAGGCGAAUGGAAAACAGAUUAAUAUUUCUGUGCCACUGAUAUCAAGUGAUGGAGGGACGCAGGAGGUUAUGCACGCUGGCGAACGGAAGUGCCAGUUCAAGCAUGUAGCGUGGUCUAGUAGGAAAAUCCGCUAGACUAAACGUGAGGUGUGAUGAGGAGUCGUAAGAUGGAAGGUGCAAAUACCACACUGCCGAGAAAAGCUUCUAAGCGUUUUAAAGAUAUUAGUGCCCGUACCCCAAACCGACACAGGUGGUCAGGAUGAGAAAUCUAAGGCGGACAGGCUAACUCUCGUUAAGGAACUCUGCAAAAUAGCCCCGUAACUUCGGGAGAAGGGGUGCCUUUUAUGGUGAGCGUACACGCGACGCAAAGCUAUGAGAGGCCGCAGUGAAGAGUCUCAGGCGACUGUUUAACAAAAACACAGGUCUAUGCUAAGCUGUAAGGCGACGUAUAUGGGCUGACACCUGCCCAGUGCCGGAAGGUUAAGAGGAGGAGUGAGAGCUCCGAAUUGAAGCCCCGGUGAACGGCGGCCGUAACUAUAACGGUCCUAAGGUAGCGAAAUUCCUUGUCGGGUAAG
rnacentral:rRNA from 1 species